GUGCUCACUUCAACAGCACACACACUACAACUGGAACACGACAGAGAUUAGCACGGCCCCCCGCACAAGGACAACACACAAAUUCCUGAAGCGUUCCCUACUUUU